rnacentral:lncRNA from 1 species
UUUUCAGUCGUUUCAGGGCAGUCUGUGUUUCUAAAGGUAGCACAUUAUCAUCAACACAAUGAUCAAUGUCUUCUUCCAAGUCCUUCUCCAUCAGCAAUUCGGUAGCAGCUUUUGUUUGCAAAAGGGAAUUAAGCUUUCCUGUAAGCACCAUCAUACAGUCGCAGUUACAAAAUAUUAAACUCGCUUUUAUGCUGACAAAGAGUAGACAAACA